CUACAUGAAAAAUAUGACUGAAUUCCUAUGAAAGCAAGUACUCAGAAAUCAGUGAAUUCUGAAAAUAACAUACCUCAAGCAGCAUUAAGAUUUUUGAGAUAGAUAGCUAUAGAAAUAGAUGUAGAUGAACGAUGUGUUUAAUAUUCACAGUAACUUGUGCUUAUGUUGGUUUUCUCAAAUAUUCUUUGCAGGUAGUUGACUACAAUAAACUUGUUCAACCACGUUUUGAUGAAGCCCUUGAAAUUUUAACCAGAAAUACUAUAGCUGAGGCCACUGAAGCAGCCAUUAAAGUUGUAAAAGAAAAACUCACAGAACUACAAGCUAAAAGACAAGCCCAGUCAACUUCAGAAGACCCUCAGGGAGAAUUUGAGAGGAGAUACGUAUUCCCAACUGGUAUAUAUAAAAGCACAGAAGAGUUGCAGUCAUCACUUGAAGAUGGUAAAGAAAAUGUUGCUAAUGUUAUUGGCCAAAUUUUUCCUAAUGUGAACAGAUUAGCUAAUAAGUAUAUUAUUCUUCCACUGCAGUGUUCACUCAUGAAUCUCAAAGAAAAAGCUCUUUAGAGGACAGUGAAGGAGCUGGAAUGAAGUCAUAUGAUAAAGAUGAUGAAAAAGAAACCCUUGAAAUGUCUACAUUUAAAAGAAGUCUUCAAGACUCUAGCCAAGAUCUAAAACUGGAUUCAAAAAAAGGUAAAUUA
rnacentral:lncRNA from 1 species